rnacentral:rRNA from 1 species
AACGAACGCUGGCGGCAUGCCUAACACAUGCAAGUCGAACGAGACCUUCGGGUCUAGUGGCGCACGGGUGCGUAACGCGUGGGAACCUGCCCUUAGGUUCGGAAUAACUCCCCGAAAGGGGUGCUAAUACCGGAUAAUGUCUUCGGACCAAAGAUUUAUCGCCUUUGGAUGGGCCCGCGUUGGAUUAGCUAGUUGGUAGGGUAAAAGCCUACCAAGGCGACGAUCCAUAGCUGGUCUGAGAGGAUGAUCAGCCACACUGGGACUGAGACCCGGCCCAGACCCCUACGGGAGGGAGGAGUGGGGAAUAUUGGACACUGGGGGAAGGCGUGACACAGCAAUGCCGGGUGAGUGAGGAAGGCGUUAGGGUUGUAAAGCUCUUUGACCCGGAACGAUAAUGACGGUACCGGGAGAAUAAGCUCCGGCUAACUCCGUG